GAUGAACGCUGGCGGCGUGCCUAAUACAUGCCAGUCGAGCGAACAGAUGAGGAGCUUGCUCCUCUGACGUUAGCGGCGGACGGGUGAGUAACACGUGGAUAACCUACCUAUAAGACUAGGAUAACUUCGGGAAACCGGAGCUAAUACCGGAUAAUAUAUUGAACCGCAUGGUUCAAUAGUGAAAGACGGUUUUGCUGUCACUUAUAGAUGGAUCCGCGCCGCAUUAGCUAGUUGGUAAGGUAACGGCUUACCAAGGCAACGAUGCGUAGCCGACCUGAGAGGGUGAUCGGCCACACUGGAACUGAGACACGGUCCAGACUCCUACGGGAGGCAGCAGUAGGGAAUCUUCCGCAAUGGGCGAAAGCCUGACGGAGCAACGCCGCGUGAGUGAUGAAGGUCUUCGGAUCGUAAAACUCUGUUAUUAGGGAAGAACAAAUGUGUAAGUAACUAUGCACGUCUUGACGGUACCUAAUCAGAAAGCCACGGCUAACUACGUG
rnacentral:rRNA from 1 species